UACGUAGGGGGCAAGCGUUAUCCGGAAUUACUGGGUGUAAAGGGUGAGUAGGCGGCAUGGUAAGUUAGAUGUGAAAGCCCGGGGCUUAACCCCGGGAUUGCAUUUAAAACUAUCAAGCUCGAGUUCAGGAGAGGUAAGCGGAAUUCCAAGUGUAGCGGUGAAAUGCGUAGAUAUUUGGAAGAACACCGGUGGCGAAGGCGGCUUACUGGACUGAUACUGACGCUGAGGCACGAAAGCGUGGGGAGCAAAC
rnacentral:rRNA from 1 species